AGAGGUUUAGGAUAACCAAACCAAGAGCCUUCAAAGCCCUAAAUAGAAGUGAAACCCUUCUAACCUCUG
rnacentral:tRNA from 2 species